CAAUAGCGUAUAUUAAAGUUGUUGCAGUUAAAAAGCUCGUAGUUGGAUUUCUGAAUUGAAUAUCCGGUCCGCUCGUCUCUGAUGAGUGCGUACUUAUGGAUAUUGGAUUCAUUUUUUGUGAGGACAUUUAUCUGUCAUUAAGUUGAUGGAUUUAUAGACUUGCAUCGUUUACUGUGAAAAAAUUAGAGUGUUUAAAGCAGGCGUUCGCCCAUUUGAAUACAUUAGCAUGGAAUAAUAAGAUAUGACUUUGGUGGUCUAUUUUGUUGGUUUGCACACCAGAGUAAUGAUUAAUAGGGACAGUUGGAGGUAUUCAUAUUUCAACGUCAGAGGUGAAAUUCUUAGAUCGUUGAAAGAUGACCUUAGGCGAAAGCAUUUACCAUGGAUGUUUNCAUUAA
rnacentral:rRNA from 1 species